CAUAGCUGCUGUAAGUGAUGGAUUAGCUUUCACUGGUGGGAUAAGUUUUCUCUCGUGUGAUCGUCUCUGAGAGUCUUGUCUUUCAUGCUUCUCCUGUGCGGGUCGUUGUUGCCUCUUUGCAUCAUCGCGGAGUUUAGCAUCAAUCUCUUUGCUUGGUGGAUAUUUUGGUAGGGAAGACGGAUGGCAAGCAAACGGCUCUGUUCUAAAGUACUGCUCAUCAAUAACUAUGUGUUACCAAAUCACAAUAUUUAACUAAGAAUAACAACAAAAAAACAUAAAGGUUAAACCAAGCACCUCACUCUCGAGAGCUCUAGCUGCAGACCCUCUCCGAUCAGGAUCUAUGGAGAGUAAAGCCUCCAAAAGCGAAAGAACAUUAGUAGGCAAAUUCUUGAACAUAUCUGCUACACGUCGUCCAUAAGGAAGGGCAGGUCUAAAUGCAGUUGAAGGUGGUAGCUUCAGUUUCCUCCAGUAAUCUUCUGUUGGUGAACCACAUAGCUUGAAUAUUUUAUGCAGUUGUUCCACCUUAGAAAACAUUAUAUUAUAAGUCAGUUUAGUAGAAGAUGAAUUCUAGAUGAAUUUUUUUUUUUUGAAUACCAGGAGGUUCCUAGGCCCGAAACCACAACAUGUAAUAUUAGUUUUGUUCUAUCGGUCACUUGAACCGGAAACCUUCCUGUUGAACUAACAACAUCUGGUGUACUAGAUGGAUUUAAGAGUGUAUGUACCUCUGUUUUCCCAGGCAGGAUCGGUUUCCCGGAGUACAGUUCGCCUAAGAUACAUCCUGUGCUCCACAAAUCAACACCAACACCGUAAUGACAAGCUCCAAGAAGAAGCUCUGGUGGCCUAUACCAAAGAGUCACAACACGGCUAGUCAAAGGAAUCCUGUUCUCUGGGUCGAAAAACGUAGCUAAACCGAAAUCCGCUAUCUUCAAGACUCCAUUACUAUCAAUCAGUAGAUUCGAUCCCUUUAUAUCGCGGUGCAGGACACCGCGACUGUGACAAUGAUGAAGCCCACUUAGAAGUUGUUUCAUGUAACAUUUAACCUAGAAGAAGAACAACAACAACAAGUUGAGUUUGAUAUACAGUACAGAGAAGCAACUUAAUAGUUUAGUUACGUACCUGAGGCUCAGAGAACUUGAUACCGGGUAUGGAAGCAAGUCCGACGAGAUCAUGAUCCAUAUACUCGAAAACCAAGUAAAGAGAAGACGAGACAGAGGCGGUGAUCAAGCCUUCUAACUUAAGUACAUUAGGAUGAUCAAGCCUUCUCAUAACAAUAAUCUCUCUAGCCAUAAACUUAACACUCUCUAAAUCGCUAAGAUCGAACCGGACUCUUUUAAGCGCAACAAUCUUGUUAUUAAUAAGAUCACGUGCCUUGUAUACACUGCUAUAAGUGCCUUGACCAAUCUGCAAAAUAAAACAGAUAUCAUUUGAACCCCCAGAUAUUCGAAAAAAACAAAAAAAAAAAAAAACAGAACAUGCUUAUUACUUUCUCGAGUUUCUCAAAGGUACUAGCGCGCCGUGGAGUCCAAUCCACAAGUGCUUCACCUGCCACGGAGACAAGCCAAGCAGGCCAUACUGCAGCCACUUGUUCUGCAACGCUAGGCUCUCUCUUUAGUUCCUCAUGUGGAGUGGUAGUGUCUUCGUCUUCGUCUUCAUCCGUAUCACCAAUCUCUGAAAUCUCCGGAUGCUUCUCAGAAAAUCUACUCGAACUGAACUCAACUUUGGCGUCGUCUCUGUAACUCGACCUAUCUUCUUGCUCCUCUUUGCUUUGGCUAGAAUCAUCUAUCCUCGACGAAUUGAUCCUUGAAGAACGCUUCUCUGAUGAUUCCUUCCUUUGUUGAUGUUGAUGAUGGUGGUGAUGGUGUCUCUUCAGAGACUUCUUCUUGGAGAUGAUGCAACCCAUGAGAGGAUCAGCUCUUCACUACAGAACACGAGUUUAAUGCCCUGGCGAGACCCAGUUUCACCAUCAACUCAAAACCCACAACACACUGUAGAAUAACUACAGAGGAAAGAAACAAGAAUCUUAUGUAAAAGUUGGAAGAAAAAUACGAGAUUUAUCAAGAAAAAUCAAAACCCAGGAUGUGGAAUUCAAAGUUGGACCUUGGAGAGGAUUCAGAUGAUGAUUGAUGAUCGAUGACUUUAUAUGAAAUAGAGAGGAGGUGUAGGGAGAAAAAAAAGAGAGGAAGGAUUGGAUUUUUUCUUGGUUUCAGAUUGGUGUCAUUUGACCGAUGAAACACUGCAUUGACACAGAGACAGAGAGAUGUGUAUAAUAUAUAUAUAUAUAUACGUGUUUAAUCAUACAGUUAACACAGGCACCCUACGUCAACUGAUGAGAGACUUUUCUCUCUCUCUUUCUCUCUCAGUCUAUCUCUCUCUCACUUAUUUUGUCUAAAAUUAUAAAUUGCAUUUUUUUUUUCUUUUAUGGACAUGAGUUAUAUGUUGCCAUAUUUGUUUUGUUGACUUUCUUUUUUCCUUAGAUUAAUUGGUUUCUAUAUUUUACUCAUUUUAUUAAAUGAAAAUAUGAGUAUAUACAUGUUUUGCAAAAUCAAUUUUUAAAAGUUGAAAAAAGUAUUUUAUGUUAUACUCAAUUUAUGGAUUUAAAGAUGUGAACAAAAUAAUUGUGAUUACAAGAAUGCAUAAAGACUCUUUAUGUAUAAUGAAAAUAAGAGUAAUAUUUUGUAGAUAUGUAAUUAAAAGAUAAAUUUUGUCAGAGAAAAAAAUGUAUUUCGAUCAAAUCAUCGUUGAUUAUAGGAGUUGAAUUACUGAAAGAAAGAAAUUAUUUAUAAAUAUCAAACAGGAUUCAAAUAUAGUUUGACGGUAGGGUUGGGCAAAUAAACCCAAAAAUUCGAACCGAACCUGAUCCAAAAAAAAAUGAAGCUGAACCUAUCCGAACCCGACAUAAAUACCGAAUGAAUCUUGUUUUAUGGUAUUUCGGGUUAUGGAUAUUAUCCGAACUGAGCCCAAACUUAAAUGGAUAUCCGAUAGAACCUGAGAGAUUCAAAAUUCUAAAAAAAAUUAUACCAAACAUGAUCUUAAUUUCAGUGCCCAAAAUACUUGGCAAGAUAUGCGCCUCUCAGCUCCUGUCUAACCGGUGGCGGAGACCAUCUGGUUUAAAGGAGCAAUACCAAGGAACAACUUUAAUAUGUGGAUAGCAAACUUGAACAGAUUGCCAACAAGAGCAAGAAUAGCAGGUUGGGGCCUUCAAAUUAAUACAGCUUGUUGUCUCUGUUCUGCUUUCGAAGAAACCAGGGAUCACCUCCUUCUCUCUUGUGCUUAUAGCAUGGAGGUGUGGCGACUCUCUAUCGGCAGGUUAAACCCACCAAACUCUCUGUUCAGAACUUGGGCUGAGCUCCUAUCUUGGAUUAGAGGUACCUCAGUUGCAGCGCCCUCUCUCCUGCGGAAGCUAGCUGCCCAAUGUAUCAUUUGGAAGCAACGAAACAAUGUGCUGCACAACCACACUGUUCUACCACCUACCACCAUAUUCAGGAUCGUUGAUAAGGAGAUGUGCAACACAAUUACAACAAGGAGGGAGAGAAAGCACUUCCUCAAUCUUAUGGUCAAAUGGAUGCAAUGAACUACGUUUAUCUCAUAUUCAACUUUGUUACAUCCUUGUUUUUUUUACUUUUUUGCCAAGGUGUAACAAAACUUAGAUCUACAUUUCUUGUAAAUUUUUUUUUCAUUUAUAUGAUAUUUACCUUUUAGCAAAAAAAAAAAACAUGAUCUUAAUUUCUAUUAUGUAUCCAAAAUACACUAAGAAAUUAUUGAACACUUAAAAUAAUUAUAUAUUACAUGAAGGUUGAUGAUUGAAAGUGGCGAUUGAUUUGAAACUGGCGAUUGAGGCUUGAGAUUUUUAGAUUUUAGUUAUGUUUUCAUUGAAUAAUGUUUUUUAUUUUAUGAGAAUUUUUUUGUUUUAUGCUUUCAUUUAUUUGGUUUUUUCUAUCAAUAACUAUGUUUACAUUUUGUUUGAUUUUGAAUGAACAAGUUUACCCCAAGAAGAAGCUCGGGUGGUCUAUACCAAAGAGUCACAACACGGCUAGUCAAAGGAAUCCUGUUCUCUGGGUCGAAAAACGUAGCUAAACCGAAAUCCGCUAUCUUCAAGACUCCAUUACUAUCAAUCAGUAGAUUCGAUCCCUUGUAGCAGUCAAGGAGACUCUCCGUGAGAUAGAUCGAAAAGCAUUCUUGCUUUGUUUAUUUCAUUCUCUCUGAAGUUACAUUUUACCCACAUUGUAUGGGGUUAUUUUAAAGAUGUGUGCUGGUAUUUUUGUGCUUUUUCCUGGCCUGUUUGGCUCAGAAUUAUCAGAAUAUUUUGGAUUUUUCAUUGAAUUAUAAGUGCUAAAAACAAAAAUGAAUGGAAAUGAAUGGAAAGAAAAAACUAUUUUUUAUGAAUUAUAAAAAAAUUUAGAAGUAUUAAAAACAAUAUUUACUAAUUUAUGAUUUUCAUCAGAAUAUAUAGUUAUAUAAGCUUUAAAAAUAUAUUAUCUUAUCUAUUUGUGUGGUGUUUUGAAUUGGUCCAAUUUGAAACCGAUAAAAUUCAUUAAUUUAUAGGUCAUACAUCACAAAUUUCUGUUAUAUGUUAGAUAGUGGUUUAUAUUUUCAAAAUGCAAUCAUACACUCCCUAGCCAAAUUUGGAUUCCUAGUUCCGCAUACAAUAGUAAAUAAUUGCUUCUUAUCAUACUUCUGUUUUUGAGAAUUGGUCAGAUUUCAAAGAAACUUUAGUAUCAAAUUUGUGAAAGAUCAGAUAUUGGAGUAAUAUGAUGAUAAUCAGGAAAUUAUCUUGGGGCACCUUCUGACACAGUUCUGUGUAUGAGAAACAAUUUGUUAUCCCAAUUCCCUAAAUGAUCAUCUUUCAAAUCUUUAACUAAUCUUAUUGUAUUACUUCAAUCUUUAUCAGAUGAUAAGUGAAAGUAAUCCUUAAAACCCAAAGAACCUGAACGAAAGUUUGUAACUGUUAUAGAAAUACAACAACAGAAAUGUUUAACCUGUGUAUGUAUGAACACAUCUUUAUAAUAUAUGAAGAAAUGUACAUACAUAUCUAGACAAGAUCAAACUCUAUGAUGAGUCUGUAUAAAUGUUAUACACAUCUAUGUAAUCACAGAGCUGAGCUUUUUUCAUAAAGCAAACAAUCUUAAAUCUCUAUUAUAAUAUAUAUAUUUUUUCCAAAAUCUAGGAACCAGAAAAAAGCUUAUCAUCAGACUCUUCUUUGAUACAAACAAGACUCAAACUGGUUAUGUUUUUGUCCCUUCCUGCCAAAUUAACCAAAUCAUUUCAGACACAUGAUUCAGUUUCUGGAUUGCUUUGCCUUCUGCCUGGUGAAUUCCUGGAGCUGCCUGUCAUGUUCUUCCAGCAUCUGAUCAACUUUACUUGGCUGAGCCAGCAAUGGACCCGACAUGUACAUUUUGUUUUCCUCAGAAUCAUACUACACAUAAAAAAAAAAACACACAGAGAUAUUAAACCAAAAUGUAAAGUAAAAGACAGUUUCUUAUCUGCAGAAGUAAGGGAAAAAGAUUCACUUACCCAAGACGGGUCAUUUGGGAUUUUCAUUUGCCUCUUACUAUUAUCCAUGGUGUCAGCUCUGUUGAAUGUUCUCAAAUUCUCCCUUUGCUGAUCCAUGAUGAGUUGAUUCGAGCCAACUGUGUCUACCACACUUUGUCCUGCUCUGUAUGAACAAGGUAUCCUAGGGGCUGCAUUGUCCUUCAACCGACUAUGAUUCCGGUUUUUCAUUAUGGGACCCGAGUAUGAGACUGUCGCACUCGUUUUAUUGUUGCUGGUCUUCUCCUUUGUAAUAUGCAUUUGUCUCGUUGAAUUACCCAGCACACACGUUCUUAAAUAAGGAUUCUGCAUCAGCCAACAAGUUUUUACUUUUAGUUAAAAAUCUGAUGAAUCAGAGGUAACACCAAACCAUAGAAGAUCACGUACCUCCAUAGCCGCUGUGAGAGAUGGAUUAGCUUUCACUGGUGGGAUAAGUUUUCUCUCGUGUGAUCGUCUCUGAGAGUCUUGUCUUUCAUGCUUCUCCUGUGCAGGUCGUUGUUGCCUCUUUGCAUCAUCGCGGAGUUUAGCAUCAAUCUCUUUGCUUGGUGGAUAUUUUGGUAGGGAAGAUGGAUCGCAAGCCAACGGCUCUGUUCUAAAGUACUGCUCAUCAAUAACUAUGUGUUACCAAACCACAAUAUUUAACUAAGAAUAACAACAAAACAUAAAGGUUAAACCA
rnacentral:lncRNA from 1 species